UACGGAGGAUCCGAGCGUUAUCCGGAUUUAUUGGGUUUAAAGGGUGCGCAGGCGGAAGAUUAAGUCGGUGGUGAAAUUUUGCAGCUUAACUGUAACAGUGCCGUUGAUACUGGGGAGCUAGGAUUUGGUUGCUGUGGGUGGAAUGUGUGGUGUAGCGGUGAAAUGCUUAGAGAUCACACAGAAUAUCGAUUGCGAAGGCAGCUCACAAAGCCAAGAUUGACGCUGAGGCACGAAAGUGUGGGGAUCAAACAGGAUUAGA
rnacentral:rRNA from 1 species